GACGAACGCUGGCGGCGUGCUUAACACAUGCAAGUCGAACGGAAAGGCCCUGCUUUUGUGGGGUGCUCGAGUGGCGAACGGGUGAGUAACACGUGAGUAACCUGCCCUUGACUUUGGGAUAACUUCAGGAAACUGGGACUAAUACCGGAUAGGAGCUCCUGCUGCAUGGUGGGGGUUGGAAAGUUUCGGCGGUUGGGGAUGGACUCGCGGCUUAUCAGCUUGUUGGUGGGGUAGUGGCUUACCAAGGCUUUGACGGGUAGCUGGCCUGAGAGGGUGACCGGCCACAUUGGGACUGAGAUACGGCCCAGACUCCUACGGGAGGCAGCAGUGGGGAAUAUUGCACAAUGGGCGGAAGCCUGAUGCAGCAACGCCGCGUGCGGGAUGACGGCCUUCGGGUUGUAAGCCGCUUUCGCCUGUGACGAAGCGUGAGUGACGGUAAUGGGUAAAGAAGCACCGGCUAACUACGUG
rnacentral:rRNA from 1 species